rnacentral:rRNA from 1 species
AUUGAACGCUGGCGGCAUGCCUUACACAUGCAAGUCGAACGGUAACAGGUCUUCGGAUGCUGACGAGUGGCGAACGGGUGAGUAAUACAUCGGAACGUGCCUAGUAGUGGGGGAUAACUACUCGAAAGAGUGGCUAAUACCGCAUGAGAUCUACGGAUGAAAGCAGGGGAUCGCAAGACCUUGUGCUACUAGAGCGGCCGAUGGCAGAUUAGGUAGUUGGUGGGAUAAAAGCUUACCAAGCCGACGAUCUGUAGCUGGUCUGAGAGGACGAUCAGCCACACUGGGACCGAGACACGGCCCAGACUCCUACGGGAGGCAGCAGUGGGGAAUUUUGGAAAAUGGGCGCAAGCCUGAUCCAGCAAUGCCGCGUGCAGGAUGAAGGCCUUCGGGUUGUAAACUGCUUUUGUACGGAACGAAAAGCCCUGGGUUAAUACCCUGGGGUCAUGACGGUACCGUAAGAAUAAGCACCGGCUAACUACGCGCCAGCCGCCGCGGUAACAC